AGGCCAUUUUCCCUCUCCCUUUCCAAAUCACACUAAAUACAAAACUUCAAUAUAUUAAACAGAAUAUUAACAACAGACUCUUUUUUACUUAAAAUAAAAAAGUUAGACCCAUAUAAAUGUGCUUUUUGCAUGUUCUGUGAAAAAAGACAUUGUAGCUAUUGAGCACAUUUUCUGGGAAUGCGAAUUGAAUGAUUUUUCUACUUUAAAAAAAAGAAAUAUUCACAGUAACUGACACUAGUGUGGUUUUUGUAGAAAAAGAAUUCAUAUUUGGAUCUCUUGUGAAAUUAUAUGAAAUUGAAUAAGUUAUUGCCUAACGGAAUGGAUAUAAGCAUUACAUGUACAUGAAUACUAGCAUAUAUAGCAUGAGCUGUUGUACUAAGAGACCUUUUUUGAAUACGUUGAUAUCAUCUAUCAAGAAUAUGUAUGACACAAAUAUAUAUAUCAUGUAUAUUGGUCGUAAAAAUAACUGACAAGUACUAUUUAAUGAGAUCUGGGGACAAUGUAAGAAUUUACUCUCUCUCUCCCACUUUCUCUUUCGAAAAUCAAAUUAUGUAACUAUGACAUAUGAUAAUACGCAAAAUAAAAUGACAAGUUUAGCUGAUGAUCAUAGAUGAUUACAUGAACAUUAGCGAAUGAUUUUCUUUAACAAUAUUCCAUUGAAAUACUGAUAAUUGUGCAUUAAUUUUUCCUUUUCCUGGAAAUAGUUUUGAGAUAAUGUCUAAAAAGAUUCUGUGUUAUGAAUAAAUGCAUCCUUAUAUU
rnacentral:misc_RNA from 1 species